UUGCUUAAGGAACCGUGAGAGUUACAUUGGCUGGUUUCAGCAUUCAGCUUUGUGACUUCCCAGCCAUGUACCUGGCCUUGAAGGGGGAUGACUCAGAAAAUCAUACCAACGCCCAAACAAUGUAUGCAGCAUUUAAAAUGACGCCCAUGAGACCAUAUACGAAGAAAGAGAAAAAUGCAAAAUGUGACUGAUCGUAUGGUAAUAUUAAGGCACGCAUAAAAACAGUCACUCAGCCCCCUUGCAUCUAGGGAACAGUAACGUUUUUGAAGAUCACACGUGGAACGCUGGAUUGUGAAGUGGAAGAAACGUCCCUCUAUUUGAAGACUGGAUGACAACUGCUAAUAUCAGGAACCAGCUCCCAUUUACGGGCUGCAUGGGGCCAUCCCAGACGCUUGGCACACAAUUUUAUGCAGUCAUCACGGCCAUCGCACGGGAAGAUAUUUUUAUUUCGUUCUAAUGAUGGGGAAACUCAGCGCCUGAUGGGAAAGGCCAAGGUCACACAAACUAAGCCAAAAUCCCAGAAUUCUAACCUCAGGUGUGUCAGAUGCCAAAGCCAAUAUGCGUUAAGACUGCUAGGCUGAAACGUGCAAUGUCAAAACCUGUAGCCUUUCUGCUCAUAUUCCUGUGACCAAACUAUUCGUAGACACUGUGCAAGAUAUUAUUACAGAAAACAAAACAAAACCCAUUACAUGGUCCCAAAAUAUUUUAAGAACUCUAGUAAGCGGUGGCAGGUUGGGGGCACAAGUAGCAUCUGCCCCUUCCUCAGUUUUGCUUCUGCCUCUGCCUGGCUACUUUUU